rnacentral:tRNA from 1 species
CAAUCUAUUUGGCGGAUAAUCGUAUUAAACUUAGAAUUUAACAAUACCUUA